UACGUAGGGUGCGAGCGUUAAUCGGAAUUACUGGGCGUAAAGCGUGCGCAGGCGGUUAUGCAAGGCAGAUGUGAAAUCCCCGGGCUCAACCUGGGAACUGCAUUUGUGACUGCAUAGCUGGAGUGCGGCAGAGGGGGAUGGAAUUCCGCGUGUAGCAGUGAAAUGCGUAGAUAUGCGGAGGAACACCGAUGGCGAAGGCAAUCCCCUGGGCCUGCACUGACGCUCAUGCACGAAAGCGUGGGGAGCAAACAGG
rnacentral:rRNA from 1 species